CUCGCUGUGAAGAUGCAGUGUACCCGCGGCAAGACGGAAAGACCCCGUGAACCUUUACUAUAGCUUGACACUGAACACUGGUCCUUGAUGUGUAGGAUAGGUGGGAGGCUUUGAAGCGUGGACGCCAGUCUGCGUGGAGCCGCCCUUGAAAUACCACCCUUUAAUGGCUGGUGUUCUAACGUAGACCCGUAAUCCGGGUUGCGGACAGUGUCUGGUGGGUAGUUUGACUGGGGCGGUCUCCUCCCAAAGAGUAACGGAGGAGCACGAAGGUUAGCUAAUCCUGGUCGGACAUCAGGAGGUUAGUGCAAUGGCAUAAGCUAGCUUGACUGCGAGAGUGACGGCUCGAGCAGGUGCGAAAGCAGGUCAUAGUGAUCCGGUGGUUCUGAAUGGAAGGGCCAUCGCUCAACGGAUAAAAGGUACUCCGGGGAUAACAGGCUGAUACCGCCCAAGAGUUCAUAUCGACGGCGGUGUUUGGCACCUCGAUGUCGGCUCAUCACAUCCUGGGGCUGAAGUAGGUCCCAAGGGUAUGGCUGUUCGCCAUUUAAAGUGGUACGCGAGCUGGGUUUAGAACGUCGUGAGACAGUUCGGUCCCUAUCUGCCGUGGGCGCUGGAGAAUUGAGGGGGGCUGCUCCUAGUACGAGAGGACCGGAGUGGACGCAUCACUGG
rnacentral:rRNA from 1 species